rnacentral:ncRNA from 1 species
AACAAGACGAAGAACGAGGAAAGUAAGAGACAUCGCGAUUACAGAGAGCUGGCGGUCGCUGCGAGCCAGCAUCAAGGUGUCGUCUGAAGCUCCCUUGUGAGUCGUAGUGGUGAAAGCUUCUCCUGGACAGAGGGGUGAGUAGUUGCUGCCGGUUGCCCCCGUUAGCGGGCCGGGUACAUCUAUACCCUUAAAGGCCGUCGUCGCGAGGCGACGGUGAAGCAUGGUGGUACCGCGAAAGUGGCCCUGAGCGCACUUUUCGCCCUGCGU